AACAAACAACCCACCUGGACUCCCUCUCUAUCCAAUCCCCCCAAUGUCAACCACGCAGCCCCGCGAUCCCCUUCCUCAAGCCCCACCGUCGACGGCGAGGGUUCCGCCCGUGCAGCCGCCCCCGCCGAUUCCACGGCAGAUCAGGCCCCUGGCCUCGCGAGCCGCGCCGGCGCGGUGGUGCUCCACCAAAUCCACCAUGUCGAGCCCUCGCUCCCGAUCUGCUGUCCCCAACCGCGCCGGCGGCCGGCCUUACCCCUCCACCAAACCUUCUCCACCUCAGAUCCCUAGUCAUGGCGGCGCCUUAUCUCACUGCCGGCAACGCUCCGGCGCGGCCGGUUCGCCUCCCGCCGUUAUGAGCUCCAGGAGGCAGCGCAAAGAAAAAGGUCGGAUUUUUAUCCCCGCGACGCCAAGGCGGUGCCAGAUCCGUGGGCGGCGGCGUCGGCACGGACGUCAAGGCGGUGGUGCUCCCCAAAUCCCCAGUCGUUCCCUUCGAUUCCCCAAUCCCCAAGCCCUCGCCGGCGCCUGCGCCGCGUCUCUACUCACCGCCGCGGCGGGACAAGGAGGAGCAGCAGGCGGCUCAAGACUCAAGACGGCAGAACGACGAGGAGCAGCAGCAGAGGCGCAGGGCUGCGGCGCGAUGAGUAGCAGCAGUCGUUCAAGGCGACGACGAGGAGCAGCGGCUAAGGCGAGAAGACUUUAGGGCUUUGUGGAGUCUUCUUUGUGUAUUCUAGGAACAGAGUAAGUGCUGAAACUAAAGAAGAUCCACCUACUCGAUCUUUUUGUAUGCUGGAACUAAAGAAGAUUUUUUCCCAACUCUGUGAUUGUAUAUUCUGAUCUGCUUCUGUUCCUAGAA